GUAGGGCGCAAGUGCACAGUGCAGCAUCGUACGCGCUAAUGUUUCGUUUAAAUCCCCUAAAUCUCAAGUAAUACAUUGAUUUUUGUGUUUAUUGUGAACUUUAGUCUAGCAUGCGGAUUAAAAUCAUCCGACAGAGUGUGUAACUUUAUGUAGUACAGUGAAAUUCUUGAUAAUAUAUGUCUCUCGCAAGCUACGUGAUUUUCUUCGCAUAGGUGGCGCUAAAUAACAUGAAACAGGGAAGGUGAUAGCGGUGUGUGUUCCCUAUGCCUAUAUUUCAAAACGUUUUUUCGUGAAGUAUAUGAAAUAGGCACUUGAAUUUUAAUGUUUCGAAUGCAAAAAGAGGUCACUUAAUUACCCAGCCUUUUGCAGCAGAACAGAACCAGUGACAGUUAGUAAAUGAUAGUGUUCUUGUCUAUGUCCCCUUAAGAGCAACGCUUUGUCUCACACACUUGUGACAAUAGCUGAGCAGGGGUCGCUUAACAGCUUGGUGUCUAUGCUAAUGACUGACAGGGGAGAUGGCAGCACGUGAAAAAAAGCCAGCUGCAAGCAAACAGUUGGGAAACCGUAGAGAUGCUGACAGUAGCAAAACUUCGUUGACAGUUUCGACUAUAAAGAAAUUUAAUAGUUUGGCUGAUGCAAAGAAGGAUCUGCUGAAGCUAUCGGAGGAUGUAGCUUCAGCCACAAAGAAACCAAUACCUGGAGUAAGCAUGUCAUUAUUGUGAAUAACUCUUGCAGAUUUAUGUUUUGGUAUCUUACAUAGCUAAGCUUAAGUAUAUAAAACAAGUCAAAAUGCACAUCCCGUAAUGCAAGAAGUGGAAAAGUUUCUGAAAUCUGUUUUUUUUUUCUUCACUCAAAAACUUGUCAUUUGCAAUAAAGCUCUGUGGAGACUUUCCUGGGUUCCUGAUUAGUUAUAAGUACAUUUAUUUUGUUAAUUACUAGAAAUUGCAGAUUUAUGCACUGAAAAAAGUUUAGCUAAUAAUCUUCUGUUUCAUUGGACGUCUUACGUCAUCACCAUCUCCUCCUGCACGUUUUAGGCUUUGCCUGUUACUACAUCGACUUAGAGAGAUUAGUCCAAGUCCUUCCAUCUGGCUUUGGGUCUCUUCAUCCUGUCGGUUUGUAUUUGUAAAGUAUUUUUUGAAGUCUGUCAUGUAUGUUGCUACAUGCCUGAAAAGUCUCAUUUCCAUACUCCGGAUUUUUAGUGGUCCUUUUUUUUUUGUUGUUGUUGUUUAGUUUUCGCUUCUGUACAUUACAACUAGGAAUGACUGUGUUUCGUAAAAUUUCAGAAUUCUCUCUUUUCUUACUUUUCUUUGCAAGGUUCAUGUAGUACUACCAUUAAGUUAAAACUUUUUCUAUCUUAUGUUCAAAAAAAUUUCAUCUUUAUGUGAUACAUUGCAUCCCAAGUGUUUAAAUUUACUUGCUGUCCUAUUUUCCCAUUUGGAUGUAAUUUUGUUUCUUCUAUAAAAACUAUUGCCUUUUUUUUUUUUUUUUUUUAAAUCAGGUGUCUGUAAGUUGCAUGAAGAUCAGAUCCUUUGUAGUUAAGAUACUGCUCUUAGUAGGUUAUUCUCACUGUUAGUAAUUAUUAUUCAGUCAUCUGCUGAUGACAUAUGACAUUGUCAGUAUGUAGUCUGGUUGUUCAAAGUUGAAAGAGUAAGACCUUAGUUCAUUUAUCCUUUUCAAAAACAUUUGCUUUAUGUAGAUCUUAAUUAAAAAGCAUGGGUGGUAAACUGCAUCCUCAGUAAACCUAGGUUCAUACUCUCUCUGUUUUGAUUAUUUUUGCCUGCAAUAGAUAUCUGACUCUUCAUACAUACUUUUUAUAACAUUUAAUAAAUAAUAAUAAUAAAGUUGUUAAGUUCCUGGAAGAGCAUGCGUCUUUUAAUGUGUCUUACUAUUUUCCAAAAGAUUACAUACUGACACGAUUGAUACAAAAGUGCCCAAGCAGUAUUUGUAUAGGUACUGAUUUUUUGGAAAAAAAAAGAGACUCCCAGGAGAACAUCUUGAUAAUCUAGCAAACUUUUUAGACUGUGAUGUUUUUAAUUACUUAAGAGAUAACUGUUGUAUCUUACUUUAUUAAUGUAACUCCAUUUUAGAACACAUGGGGGUGGCAGAGACUAAAUGUCAAAAGAAUGUAGUAAGGGACGAGUGAGAUAAGGAGAGAAACAAUACAAAUUGCCUAAGGAAAAAUACUGAUAGCUGCAUAAGAUGAACUUCAUCUCACUCUUACAAUAUUUACUUAGCUCCUUAGGUGGUAUUAUUCUGCAACAUAUUUGAAUUUAAUCAGUUAAAGAAUUGUACGAACAUAAUUUGUAGUUUGGCAUUGGUAGAAAGUGGGAGAAAAAAUAUGCAAGCAGAUGGUGAAAGGUUGUUCUAGGCAAUGCUAAUCAGAGGUAUUGUCUAAGUUUUGAAAAGUCUGAAAGCCUGUGUGGCAGUGGAGUUUUUGAGGAAGAAAACAAAAACUUAAUGAAACAAAUACGUGAUAGGUAGCAAAAGACAGAAAACAGUGAGGAGAAAUUGGCAAAUAAGAAUAAUUGAGGGAGCAAAUGCCUGAGAUGAGGGGAUGUGUUGAAAGGCAGAACACACAGAAACAGAAUGAAACACAACAAAGGGCAAGGGGGAUGAAAUUGGAAGGAAAUAACAAAGUUAAAUGGUACAGUUACAGUUAAUACUUGAGAAGUUGGAAUAAUAUAGAAAGAUUAUAAGAUAUAUCGGAAAAUUACUAAGAAAAUAGUGAAAAUGAAAUUUAAUCAGAUGAAAAGUUAGUCAGUAACACCCAGAGAGAUAAGUAGGCAGGUGGCACAGAAAACAAUAGAGAAUGAUAAGUUAAUAUUUGGUGCUCUAUUUGUAUCCUAUUUAAGUAAUUUUAUGAUGCAUUGAUUCAAAGUUGUGAAGCUCUCUUUAAUAUCUAGUGAAAAGUAUAAUUUCGAUCAGAAAUAAACUGGUAUUCAUCACAUUUCUUUAUAUCUUUCACAUCCACUUUUUUUUUUUUAAGUUAAUGCACAGUUUGCUAUGGAAUAUGUAAGUAUAAAAGCAAUUUAAAAAUGGUGUAGAGUACUGAGCUGUCGUUAGCUUACUUGCCGAUUAAACAUUAGUGUUGACUUUGACCCGUAGAGUUUGAGUAGGAGUGUAAAAUAUUUGCUGUUAAAGUAUGCUAUCUCAAUAAAGGUCUUCAGUAGUUGACUGAAGGCCUGAUGAUGAAGAUGUACUUUGGAAUUUGAAAUUAUUAGUAAAAUAUAAUAUUGUAUGCCAGGAAAUAUAGUUGUCAUUCUAAGCUUUUGAUUCUACAGUGUACGUACAUAGUUUUGGCAGCACAGAUUUGAUGUAAAUUGUAUCAAAAGGAAAAUUCAACCAAGAAAGCUGUUAAAUUACAUUUGAUUGUGGCUGAACAGUACGCAUCUGAAUGAGGUGAAAUUCCUAGUUCUACUGACAGGAACACUUAAAUGAACAUCCAUUCAUUUAUAUUUGUUCACCAUUCUUCUUUCUUGUCUAAUUACAUUAUACUUCAUGUGUGUUAUAAAUUUUAAUUAAUUGUUAUAUAACCACUAAUUAAGA